CGGCGGACGGGUGAGUAACACGUGGAUAACCUACCUAUAAGACUGGGAUAACUUCGGGAAACCGGAGCUAAUACCGGAUAAUAUAUUGAACCGCAUGGUUCAAUAGUGAAAGACGGUUUUGCUGUCACUUAUAGAUGGAUCCGCGCCGCAUUAGCUAGUUGGUAAGGUAACGGCUUACCAAGGCAACGAUGCGUAGCCGACCUGAGAGGGUGAUGGCCACACUGGAACUGAGACACGGUCCAGACUCCUACGGGAGGCAGCAGUC
rnacentral:rRNA from 1 species